GACAGAGGGUGCAAACGUUGUUCGGAAUUACUGGGCGUAAAGCGCACGUAGUCGGCUUUGCAAGUCGGGUGUGAAAUCCCCGGGCUCAACCUGGGAACUGCAUCCGAGACUGCAUUGCUAGAGUAUGGGAGAGGGAAGCGGAAUUUCUGGUGUAGCAGUGAAAUGCGUAGAUAUCAGAAGGAACAUCAGUGGCGAAGGCGGCUUCCUGGACCAAUACUGACGAUCAGGUGCGAAAGCGUGGGGGAGCAAACAGG
rnacentral:rRNA from 1 species